GCCAAACGUGUGACAAGUUUUUGGGUUGUUUUUUUUUUUUGCUUUUUUUAUUUGGUUUGUUUUUUAGUAAUCUUGAUCUUUAGUUACAUUGUCACAGAAAGCAAAUGCACAAUUUAUCUGCUAUUGAAUCCGUCGCCUUAGAUCUUGAAAUGUAUUACACUUCAGAUAAACUAUCAGAUAUUUUUGCUUGAUAGGAUUCACCUUAAUUUUUCCAGUCUUACUCGAGUAUAAUUUUCACAGUGCCCCCUUCUGUUCUUUUCGUGGUGUUACCACAUGAACAAUUUUGUAAUCGACUGCAACAACUCUUGGUAUUAAUACAUUUUGGGCACCCAUAGGCCUAGACAUUCGCCUUUCUUUUAUUGAUCUUUCCUAUAUCCGGGUGAUAUAACAAUUACAUUUAAAAAAAAUUACUUUACAAAAAGAAUCUAUUAUCUGUUCCUUCAUAACCACUACACUGAUGCAGGUGCGAGUAGCAUUAUGUUCACUUAAACAAAAUUAUUGUCAACAUUCACACAAGUGAACGGAAUCACAAAACACUUACAUUUACAUGUUACUUUUGUGUCUCUCCUUGUGUUUUGUUUUCAAGUGAAUGGGAUGUUAUGUGUGUGUGCAAGUGACUCUAUUUUAAAAUAUGUGAGAAAAUGCUGUGCGUAGAGUUAUGGGAAAUCCACACGUAGUUGUUGAGAUUUAUUUUUUCCAACAACUAAAAGAUAAGCACAUUUUAAUUUUUUUUCCUGAUUUUAUUUUUCACAAUUCUUUGUUAGAUGCUCAGUUAUUGCUAAAGUGAGCAGUGUGCCCUUUGAGAGAGAUAAAGAUCAUAC